GACGAACGCUGGCGGCGUGCUUAACACAUGCAAGUCGAACGGUGAUCCAGGUACUUGUAUCUGGUGAUCAGUGGCGAACGGGUGAGUAACACGUGAGUAACCUGCCCUUCACUCUGGGAUAACUCCGGGAAACCGGGGCUAAUACCGGAUAUGACACUGACCCGCAUGGGUAUGGUGUGGAAAGUUUUUCGGUGGAGGAGU
rnacentral:rRNA from 1 species